UACAGAGGUCUCAAGCGUUGUUCGGAUUCAUUGGGCGUAAAGGGUGCGUAGGCGGCGCGGUAAGUCGGGUGUGAAAUCUCGGGGCUUAACUCCGAAACUGCAUUCGAUACUGCCGUGCUUGAGGACUGGAGAGGAGACUGGAAUUUACGGUGUAGCGGUGAAAUGCGUAGAUAUCAGGAGGAACACCGAUGGCGAAGGCAGGUCUCUGGGCCGGUACUGACGCUGAGACGCGAAAGCGUGGGGAGCAAACAGG
rnacentral:rRNA from 1 species